rnacentral:lncRNA from 10 species
CUACCUUAUAUGGUGGGGAAAAGAGACCCUCAGUCAAAUUCUUUCUUCUGAGGAGGCAUGGACAGAAGUUGCUACGAACCCGUAAGGAUAGGCCACCAGUAACACAGAAUAACUCUGAUCUCCUCCACCGUUAACCUAUUCAUCCCAGUUUCUCAUCUUGCUCUCAAGAUACUUCUCUCUGAUGGAGCGGAGAGUUUAAUAGGCAAGAAGCAAGGGAGAAGACAGAAGGAAGAAGCUUCCCCAUACAGAGAAAGAGGGAGGAGGGCUCCAAAGCUGAGAGAGGAGGUACCCGCCUGCCAAGGAUACCAGCCAGCCUCUAGUUUGUAGCAACUCAGCAUUCUGCAAAGACUCUGCUCCAGCUGGGCAAGUAACCUUGUUAUUGCAUACACAGGUAUGCUCAGAGGACAGAAGGCUGGAAGGAAGGGAAGAAGGUAGAAAAACAAGAGUGAAAAAGAGGGUUUCCGAUUUAUGGAUGUAUAUUAAAGCAUAUUGAAGAUAUCAGGUGAUUUCAUCCCUUUAUACACUUCAGCAUAUAUCUCCAAAUGGUGAGAGAGACAGACACUGGGAGUGCUCAUGCGCAGAGGAAAGGCCGUAGGAGGAUGCUAUAAAAAGGCUGUUGUCUGCAAGCCAAGGGAAAGUUUCAAGCAUACACAAAAGAAGGGAAAUAACUAAUUAAUCAUAUCUUGCAUGCUGUUUCAUCCUUGUGAAGGCAGUAUGGCUUAAUGGUCAAGACUGCACAAUCUGAAACUAAACUGCUCGGCUCACCUCAGGUA